rnacentral:rRNA from 1 species
AUUGAACGCUGGCGGCAGGCCUAACACAUGCACGUCGAGCGAGCGGCAGACGGGUGAGUAAUGUCUGGGAAACUGCCUGAUGGAGGGGGAUAACUACUGGAAACGGUAUCUAAUACCGCAUACCCUCAGAUGUGCCCAGAUGGGAUUAGCUUGUUGGUGGGGUAAUGGCUCACCAAGGCGACGAUCCCUAGCUGGUCUGAGAGGAUGACCAGCCACACUGGAACUGAGACACGGUCCAGACGCCUACGGGAGGCAGCAGUGGGGAAUAUUGCACAAUGGGCGCAAGCCUGAUGCAGCCAUGCCGCGUGUAUGAAGAAGGCCUUCGGGUUGUAAAGUACUUUCAGCGGGGAGGCGUUACCCGCAGAAGAAGCACCGGCUAACUCCGUGCCAGCAGCCGCGGUAAUAC